rnacentral:rRNA from 1 species
UACGAACUGUGCGAACGUUAUUCGGAAUCACUGGGCUUAAAGGGUGCGUAGGCGGCUGCCUAAGUCAGGUGUGAAAGCUUCCGGCUCAACCGGAAAACUGCGCUUGAUACUGGGCGGCUUGAGUGGGGUAGGGGUGUGUGGAACUUCCGGUGGAGCGGUGAAAUGUGUAGAUAUCGGAAGGAACGCCAGCAGCGAAAGCGGCACACUGGGCCUUUUCUGACGCUGAGGUACGAAAGCCAGGGGAGCGAACGGG